AACUCCCACGGCUCCUCGUUUAUCAAUAGUAAAAGUCGUUCUCCUUCAGCCUCUGCUAAGUAUACAUAGUCGUCUAGAUAACCCGGCCUUUUACUCACUCUCGUUGAUCUUCUUAGCUCAACCAUCUCUGUUGUAUCAUCUGCACUGUCAUCAUGUAAGAUAGGCACUGCACUUUCUUCUUCGAUGACUUCAUCAAUCUUGUCUUCUGUUUCAUCUCUAUCUUCAUAUUCCCUCACUCCUCUGUUUCCAUAUUCUCCAUAUGUGAUCGUCAAUGUGCCUGGUUCAUCCCUUUGCGCUUCAGAACUCGAUGACGUCCACUCCCAUGUUUUCUUUUCAUCAAAAACUACGUCCCUGCUCACUACCACCCUUUGACUGAUAGGAUCAUACAGUCUGUAGGCUUUAGAGCCCGGUUCUGUCCCUAGGUGAAUCAGGGUUCUUGAUCUAUCAUCCAAUUUCUUCGGAAAGGGUUUUUCUAUUUUAGCAUAGCACUUGCAACCAAAGAUACGUAAGUGCUCUAUGUUAGGUUUUCUUCCCUUUAAAACCUCGUAUGGAGUUUGGUCUGUUAAAGCUUUUGUACCAACACGAUUAAUAAGAUACGUCGCAUGACGUACAGCCUCUCCCCACAGAUGAAGCGGCAAAGAUACAUGCUUCAAUAGACUUCUUGUCAUCUCCAAAAGGGUUCUAUUUCUUCUCUCAACGAUCCCGUUUUGCUGUGGAGAGUAUGGAGCAGUCAAAUGCCUCACUAUUCCUGAUCUUUCACAAAACUCAUUGAAUUCUGUAGACGUGAACUCUCCUCCCCUAUCGGUUCGAAAACAUUUAAUCUUCGCUUUUGUUUCGAGUUCCACAACCGCCUUGAACUUUUGAAACUUGUCAAAUGCUUCUCCUUUUCCUUUUAGAAGGAUGGACCACAUGUACCUUGAAUGAUCAUCGAUAAUGACAAGGAUGUAUCGGUUUCUUGCUGUUGUUGGUGGAGAAAUCGGACCACAUAGGUCACCAUGGAUGAGCUCUAAGAUGUGCUCUGCUCGAUAGGUAGUGGACUGUGGAAACGGACGUCUGGUUUGUUUCCCAAGUAAACAUGAAGUACAUGUCUCUUUGUCAACCGUUAGCUUCGGCAGCCCGACAACAAGUUCCUUCUUGACCAUCCUUUUCAAUGAUUCUGUUCCAAUAUGUCCAAGGCGUGCGUGCCACGUUGUUGCAUCAUCUUGUCCGAUAACUUGAAAACUUGUCUUCUGUUUCAUCUCUAUCUUCAUAUUCCCUCACUCCUCUGUUUCCAUAUUCUCCAUAUGUGAUCGUCAAUGUGCCUGGUUCAUCCCUUUGCGCUUCAGAACUCGAUGACGUCCACUCCCAUGUUUUCUUUUCAUCAAAAACUACAUCCCUGCUCACUACCACCCUUUGACUGAUAGGAUCAUACAGUCUGUAGGCUUUAGAGCCCGGCUCUGUCCCUAGGUGAAUCAGGGUUCUUGAUCUAUCAUCCAAUUUCUUCGGGAAGGGUUUUUCUAUUUUAGCGUAGCACUUGCAACCAAAGAUACGUAAGUGCUCUAUGUUAGGUUUUCUUCCCUUUAAAACCUCGUAUGGAGUUUGGUCUGUUAAAGCUUUUGUACCAACACGAUUAAUAAGAUACGUCGCAUGACGUACAGCCUCUCCCCACAGAUGAAGCGGCAAAGAUACAUGCUUCAAUAGACUUCUUGUCAUCUCCAAAAGGGUUCUAUUUCUUCUC
rnacentral:lncRNA from 1 species